AUUGAACGCUGGCGGCAGGCCUAACACAUGCAAGUCGAACGAGUGGCGGACGGGUGAGUAAUGUCUGGGAAACUGCCUGAUGGAGGGGGAUAACUACUGGAAACGGUAGCUAAUACCGCAUACCAUCGGAUGUGCCCAGAUGGGAUUGGCUAGUCGGUGGGGUAACGGCUCACCUAGGCGACGAUCCCUAGCUGGUCUGGAAGGAUGACCAGCAAAACUGGAACUGAGACACGGUCCAGACUCCUACGGGAGGCAGCAGUGGGGAAUAUUGCACAAUGGGCGCAAGCCGGAUGCAGCCAUGCCGCGUGUAUGAAGAAGGCCUUAGGGUUGUAAAGUACGUUCAGCGGGGAGGCGUUAACCGCAGAAGAAGGACCGGCUAACUCCGUGCCAGCAGCCGCGGUAAUUC
rnacentral:rRNA from 1 species